GGAAUCAUGCCCGAAACAUGACCCACCUAACCGCGCUCCUUAACACACGCCACGUUAACCCGGAAACCAGCCGCACCAAUGUGUCGGAUGAAACACAUUCCCUUAUGCACAUUCCAUGAUCGAACGUUAUAAACACACUUCUUACCGGCAAAAAAAAAAGUUAUCGACGAUAUAACGUUACUACCACUAUGUCGCAGUUUUUUACUAGGUGUCUUCAGGACUUGCCUUAAAUUAAUAUUAAUAAUAUACAUCAAAUUGUUAAAUCAGCCUCCGAGACACCAGCUAACAAGAAUGAAAAGGGGUUCAAUAUGUAUACCUUUAUAGGAAGCUAACGUUACAUAGACAACUAUGAAGUAUCUUACAAAGAUACAUUGACCGGAGAGAUCACCGUGAGGGCUGCCUGUCACAGGUCCAUGAGGAAGAGCGAAAAGCCGCACAGCAUGAGAGUAGGGAAAGGUUUUAGAUAGCUAGGGACCUUGUUAAACAUCUCCUGUGAGACACUGUCAUCAUGGUCAAAAUGUGUUGGAGACAGUGUCAAGGUUUAAUCUUAUCAAUAGAUAGAUAUUAAUGAUGGGUCCCAAUCCCAAUUUAUCUGUUGCUGCAGUGUUUGGUAAUUGUGUUACUGAGACCAUGUAUUCCUGUAUAGAUAAAUGAGCCCCUAGUUAAGAAGACAAGACACUACUUUGUUUAUUAUUAUUCAUGGGCCGCAUCAUUCUUGUUUCUCACUUCAGUCUUUCAUCACACUUAUCUUCACAGAUGGUGUUAAAGCACUCCGUACCAGUGAUAGUUGUCCAGAGCCUCUGCUCCUGUAUUGCAGGAAGUGCUAUGUGCAAUCAUCUGGUGGCCCUUCUUUACCAGACUCGAACUAAACAUUCCUGCUGCACCACCAGUUCACAGCUGCACAGACACAGAAUAGUGUUGGCACAAGCCAAGAACACUUGUGAGUCUAUCAAUAUCCAUUAAAAAAUGCACCUGAAAAGUAUUCAGCCUAUGUAACAGUAAAUCCUUGUUAAUUAGGGUGUGAAGACAGUUCCGGUUGAUGGGAUAGAGUUCUGUAAAACCUAUAAACUCGUGUGCUGAUGGAAUAAGAUAAGUUGGAGGUUCCUAGAAUGGAAACAUUUUAGAAAACAUUUUCCCGUGAUUGUUUUUGUAUCCAGAUGAUGAGCCUAAACAGUGGCGUCUUUACGAUGUAAUGACACAUUUUGGGACAAAGACUGAAGGGAAAUAUAUAAUCUAUAAAUCUGUAUUUGAAUUAUAAUUAAUUUUAUUUGAACUUUCGGGCUUGUGCUGUUUCUGGAAAAGUUACAUGAGUCCUUUGUCAUAGUAAUCUCGCCAACCUGGUGUUAAGGUUUUAAAAUGUUUUGCAGAAGUUCUCUCUACAUAGCACUCAAUGGAUACAUGCCUGACAUGGACCUUCGCGUCUCAGAAACGUAUGCCAAAUUUUCUCUACUUCCCCUCUUGUGACAACAAUGGAAAUGUCAGCUGCCCCUGGUUGAAUUUGCCUGUCCUAUCAGCUUCCACAGCCAAAGACCAUGGAAUUGUGAAGAUUACCGAUGCCCCAUCUCCACCAAUACUUCCAUUAGAUGGCUACAGGCUUCAGUCUUCCCAGUGUGCUUACGUCCUUAGCCAUCGGGAGCAGUUCCACGUCAAGGCAUUAGAGACAACCUACGAGAUGUCACAGAGAGUCGAGGUUGCAGCCUGGAAUGGCAUCAGCUCAGGAAAAUUAGAAUAACAUCCUCUCGUUUUCGAGAGGUUUGCCAUGUCCGGGGAGAGACCUCGGCUAACCACCCAGCUGAGCGAAUGUUCAAGGGAUCUGGUAUGCAGACCAUGGAGAUGAAGAGGGGGCUAGCCAUGGAGCCAGUGGAUAUACAGGGAUCUGGUAUGCAGACCAUGGAGAUGAAGAGGGGGCAAGCCGUGGAGCCAGUGGCUGUACAGGAGUACUGCACACUGAAGAAUGUUAACUUAUUUCCAUGUGGCUUCAGUGCACCCAGAUGCUCCGUGGUUAUGAUCCUCUCCAGAUGGCAUCAUAUUUGAUCCCAGGGUGAGACCACACUUUGGACUCUUAGAGGUCAAGUGCCCAAAUGUACCAAGUUAUGUUGAGUGCCCUUACCUGAAGUUACAGAAUGGAGAGCUGAAGUUGAAGAGAUCUCAUGCUUACUACUAGGUGCAAGGUCCAAUCCUUCUCACAGGUUGUAGCUGGUGUGACUGUCCUCCUGUGCACAGAUGACAACCUAGUUGAAAGGAUAUAUAAAGAUCUUACAGGUUUCAAAAACUAUAAGAGAGAAGGUUGACCACUUAUUUUUUUCACUACUUGCAGAAGUGUCUCUCGCACCUGAAUGGAUCCCAUGCAUGGGUGCCAAGUUUAGUGGUUUCACAAAAAAUAAGUAUUGAUGUUCUUGUGAAGAAAACUAGUAGAAUAGAUUUGUUGAAAAAAAAAUAUUUCAGCAAAUGUUCAACAGUUCAGUUAAUCAAUUACACAUCUCCAACAUUGUAUUAAAUCUUGCAUUCUGGC